GGACCGGCCCAGACGGUCGCUCUAUGAUACUUGUAUUGUAGAGAGGAAAGUCCGAACACAGGCAGUUCGCUGCAGACAGGUAGCGGGUAACGCCCGUCCGCCGAAAGGCGCGAGGUGCGAACAGAAACGCUCAAUUCCGAAAGGAUAGAGACUCUUUCUAAGAGUGUCCUGAAGGUGACUUCAAGCUGAAACGGCUAAAUCCUUACCCCUGUGCAAGGCCGUGCCCGUCCUCGUGCGGGAGCGCCGCUUGAGGGUGUUGGUAACAACACUCCCAGAUAGAUGACCGUCCUCUUCUUUGAAGGGACAGAAUUCGGCUUAUCGGACCGGUAUCCAU
rnacentral:RNase_P_RNA from 1 species